AUACUUACCUGGCAGGGCGAUUCCAUGAUCAGGAAGGUGUUUUCCCCAGGGUGAGGUUCGCCCAUUGCACUAUGGGUGUGCUGACCCCUGCGAUUUCCCCAAAUGUGGGAAACGAGACUGUACAAUUUGUGAUUGUGGGGGACUGCGUGCGAGCUUUCCCCUG